AAAGGAUACAGGGCAGAGCUACUUAUCCUGUUACAGCUCCCGGUGAGAAGGGUGACGGGAUGUCAGAAAUAAAAGAAAAGCCUUUUUUCCUUUGAAAUAUCUAAAUGUCCAAAGAUGGGAACAGCCACGGGGAGGAGGAGGAGGAGAAUACUGUGCUAUGCAGUUUGAUCUUAUUCUGUGGACCAUCCAUUUCCAGUUGGAAAGCUCAAUUAUUUUCAACAGCAAGAAUCAAAAAACCAGACUAACAGCGGCUUCAACAUAUAGAGCUUUAUUUUUCUCACAGAAUGAGGAGACCGGAAGUGGGCGGUCCAGGCCGAGUCAUCCAAGACUCAGGUUUUCCUUUCUGCUCCACCAAAAUUACAAGUUGGAUUUCUUCCUUGUGCUUGUUGCCUCAUGGUGGCAAGGUAGCUGCAGCACCUCUGGAACUCAUUUUUAAGACCUGAGGGAGGACCUACCUUGGAGGUGUACGAGCUGGAAUGCCAACGUGGAAAGAAAGGGGCAGGAAUCUCUGGUUACCUGCCGGUGCUAAUACAUGUCAGAACAAUAGUCUUGCUGGGGCCUGGAAAAUCGUGGUGCAAUGCCCAUGUCAUUACCAUCCCUGUAAUUUUUCAUUGGCUUUUGGAGCAACUUUGUAAUUUGUAUGGAAUUUCAUUUUUGAGGUACCAAAUCUCAGGAGCAUAACAGUUUUUAGUUUUCAAAUGUUUCAUUCAUUUCAUCAUUCACUUACUCAUUCCACAGAUAUCGAUUGAGAGGCAGUGGUGGCCAACACAUCCAUUUUCCCUGUCUUCCAAAGCCAGGGAAACAGAUUUAUGUUAACUAGAGUGUAGGUCCCACAAGGUCAAAGACUUUAUUUGUUCCCUGCUGUAUUCGUACGUGCCUGGAAUGUAAUAGAUGCUCAAUAAACAGGUGUUGGAUGCAGAAGCACCAAAGGAA